rnacentral:rRNA from 1 species
CAGUCGCCGCGGGAAUACAGAGGGUGCGAGCGUUAAUCGGAUUUACUGGGCGUAAAGCGUGCGUAGGCGGCCUUUUAAGUCGGAUGAGAAAUCCCUGAGCUUAACUUAGGAAUUGCAUUCGAUACUGGGAAGCUAGAGUAUGGGAGAGGAUGGUAGAAUUCCAGGUGUAGCGGUGAAAUGCGUAGAGAUCUGGAGGAAUACCGAUGGCGAAGGCAGCCAUCUGGCCUAAUACUGACGCUGAGGUACGAAAGCAUGGGGAGCAAACAGGAUUAGAUACCCGCGUAGUCCCUGUCUCUUAUAC